GAUUAUAGAGGAAUACACCAUUAAAAUACACUUUACACAUAAAUCAAGAUGUUUUUCACACAAAGCCCUAUACCCUUUGCACAAAGAAUCUUUGUUCGUGCGUAAACCAAACCAUUUGUAUACCACCCCCUGAAUAGGACUUCGGCAGUGCUAAGAUCUUGUCAUGGGAGGAAAGGGUAGAAAGAAUAAGAAAGUAAAGAACCAUUUUUUUCGUGCAGAUUUCACUUUCUCGGGGGUUCUGUUCCAGCCAAUCCUAAGUGCUUUGAUAGCGUGCCAGCCGAGCGACUAGCUUUCAGAUAGGAUAUUUUCAGUGAAAGCCGGGAGUGGGUUAGCAGCAAGGUCAUCCUCUCUUUUGAAACAACCAUUUUUGUCUGAUUUCCGGGUCAAUUCAAAAGGAAAAUCAUAGUUUUUGUUGCUACCUGCCUUUUCAUUUCAGCCCCUUGCGCUAACAUCGUUCAGUUCCCGGGCCCCCUAUCAUCUGGGGAUUCUUUUUUCUGGGAAAAUGAGAUGCGUUGGAAACCAACUA
rnacentral:lncRNA from 1 species